rnacentral:rRNA from 1 species
GACGAACGCUGGCGGCGUGCCUAAUACAUGCAAGUCGAGCGAAGUUUUUCUGGUGCUUGCACUCGAAAAACUUAGCGGCGAACGGGUGAGUCACACGUAAAGAACCUGCCUCAUAGACUGGGACCACUAUUGGAAACGAUAGCUAAUACCGGAUAACAGCAUUAACUGCAUGGUUGAUGUUUAAAAGUUGGUUUUGCUAACACUAUGAGAUGGCUUUGCGGUGCAUUAGCUAGUUGGUGGGGUAAAGGCCUACCAAGGCGACGAUGCAUAGCCGACCUGAGAGGGUGAUCGGCCACACUGGGACUGAGACACGGCCCAGACUCCUACGGGAGGCAGCAGUAGGGAAUCUUCCGCAAUGGGCGAAAGCCUGACGGAGCAACGCCGCGUGAGUGAAGAAGGUUUUCGGUUCGUAAAGCUCUGUUGUUAGGGAAGAAUGAUUGUGUAGUAACUAUACACAGUAGAGACGGUACCUAACCAGAAAGCCACGGCUAACUACGUG